rnacentral:rRNA from 1 species
CAGUAGCCACGGUAAUACGAAAGGUCCAAGCGUUACUCGGAAUUACUGGGCGUAAAGCGCGCGUAGGCGGUUUUGUAUGUCGAUUGUGAAAGCCCCGGGCUCAACCUGGGAACUGCAGUCGAAACUGCAAGACUUGAAUGUUGGAGAGGUUGGGGGAAUACCUAGUGGAGAAGUGAAAUUCGUAGAGAUUAGGUGGAACACCAGAGGCGAAGGCGCCUGACUGGCCAAACAUUGACGCUAAGGCGCGAAAGCGUGGGUAGCAAACAGGAUUAGAUACCCCCGUAGUCCCUGUCUCUUAUAC